GUACCGGUGCGAGCGUUAAUCGGAAUUACUGGGCGUAAAGCGUGCGCAGGCGGUUCGUUAAGUCAGAUGUGAAAGCCCCGGGCUCAACCUGGGAACGGCAUUUGAAACUGGCGGGCUGGAGUGUGGCAGAGGGGGGUGGAAUUCCACGUGUAGCAGUGAAAUGCGUAGAGAUGUGGAGGAACACCGAUGGCGAAGGCAGCCCCCUGGGCCAACACUGACGCUCAGGCACGAAAGCGUGGGGAGCAAACAGGAUUAGAUACCCUGGUAGUCCACGCCCUAAACGAUGACAACUGGGUGUUGGGGAAGCGAUUCCUUGGUACCGUAGCUAACGCGUGAAGUUGUCCGCCUGGGGAGUACGGCCGCAAGGUUA
rnacentral:rRNA from 1 species